UGAACUUUUCAAUUUGCUUGAUUGGCCGUGGAGCCGUCUGUCACCGUGGCAGCCUCAGAGCUCAAGACAUCGUCCCUGCUGCCUUUGAUGAAACCUCUAAUACUCAGAGAUCAAUUUACGGACGGCUGUCUCUCCAAAGAGCAGCUGCGUGUGAGCUGCGAGGUGCUGUCCUCCUGGCUCUGAUUGGCUGGCUGGUCCUGCAGAGAAGUGGCCCGUAACAAAGCCUUACCCACCUGCGAGGCUUGCCGUUCUCGUCCGGUGGGAUGACAGUGAUGUGGAUCUUGUGCGCGGUGCGGAGCAGCCUGGUCCUCUCCUCGGGGGUCAGGUGAACCAGCGAGUGUCCGCACAGGCGCACCACGCGAGCCGACAACUGAAGGCCUCCGCUCUCGGCAUAACAGAACCGCUGCAGCUCCGUCACAAAACCCUCCUCGUUCAUCAGGAAGCCGGGCUGCCCGACUCCGUCACGCAGAGGGGUGACCUCCAAAGCCUCACAGCCCCGGGUGACCAGCUGCAGAUAAGAAGAGGAAGAUGAAUGAAUUAGAAAAACAUAAACCACCCACUGCAAAAUUUCAAAUCCAGACACAAUCACCCACCUCUAGCCUCUGCACCACCUCUCGUAUAUCCUCCGUCUGGCUCUCCAUCACACUGAUUGACACUGACUCCCCACGCUCAUAGAAGAUAUCCAAGCAGGGCCCCCCCAUCUUAGUUUCUGUCACUGCCUUCCAGCCGAUGACAUCUCGACAGGAGCAGUUAAACACCACCCUGCGCGUGCACCUUUCAAUGAGCACCACUGACUCAGCCGACACCCCAAGCAGACAGGGAAGCCUGUGCUCUCCCGCCUCCCCUUCAUCCAUGUUGACCAUCACAGCCCACACCAGCGCCCCGGCGCUGUGCAACUCGGCACCUUUGGCGCCCUUCAGCUUGUCCUUGCGCUUGCCUCCCAGAGAGAGCAGGGGGAACUUGGUGGAGGAGUCGAUGGGUGUGGUGGUCACAUAGUUUUCAGCCAGGUCCUUCAAGUAUUCCUGCCGCGUGCGGGUGGCCAUGGAGCGAAACUUCUCUGACUUCUCCGCAGCGUUUUCAGCAUUCACUGCCUUCGCCAGGAGGAAGUCUCUGAACGCGAGCGAGCGAGGGAAUCGGGCGCCCUUAGGGAAGAGUGGGCCAAAUAAUGGCAUGUCUUUUGAACGCGUCACAGCCACUCUGAGAGGGAGAGAGAAAAAGAGCAAUGACAGAGUAAGAGAGAGGGUACAGCGGAGACAUUGUCUUGUUUGCAGUGCUUGAGUGUAGUGUAGUACUCUCCAGAAUAACAAACAUUUACACUGAAUCUGCUGCCGAAGUGAUUUUUGCCCUACAACUACUAUGAUUUAAGAUACAUGUAUGUCAUGAAUGAUAUGGUGAGAAAAAUAAGUCUCUUUUUGUCUGUGUUUCCCUUAAAGCCCAGAUCUUUUUAUAACAUCCCUUCUUUUCAUUAAA